rnacentral:rRNA from 1 species
UACGGGGGGAGCAAGCGUUGUUCGGAUUUACUGGGCGUAAAGGGCGCGUAGGCGGCGUGACAAGUCACUUGUGAAAUCUCCGGGCUUAACUCGGAACGGUCAAGUGAUACUGUCGUGCUAGAGUACAGAAGGGGCAACUGGAAUUCUCGGUGUAGCGGUGAAAUGCGUAGAUAUCAGGAAGAACACCCGUGGCGAAAGCGGCUCUCUGGAACGGUACUGACGCUGAGACGCGAAAGCGUGGGGAGCGAACAGG